UAUUUUACAAUUUUAAAUGCAGUAUGGUACCUGAUGUGUUUAUUCUAUGGUUUCAUAUGCAUGAAUCACAGUUUCAUUUAUUAUGGUUUGAAUUAUUGUGAACCCGAUGUUGUGUUGCCUUGUUUGGUGUCCAUUACUGGUUUACGUGUUUAUAUUUGAUUGGAUAAUUGAGAUUAAGAAAAAUGGAAAAAGGUAUGUGCAUUGAUAAAUGAAUAAUAUUGACAGCCUAACUAGAUAUCCUGGGAGAUGGUGGACGGGCCUGGUCCAUAGGGAACCCUACUGGGAACAUGGUCUCUCAUAUCAGACGGGGUGUGGAGACUAUGUGUUUUGGCGCCCAUACCAGACGGGGUAUGGGGACGGCCCUGGAAUUAAGUUAUUCCAGCACCUACCACUGUUGCUAUUGCUACUACUGUUACUAUUUCUACUACUACUCCUACUACUACCAAUACUGUUACUAUUACUAUUGCUAAUUUUAUUAUUGCUACUGCUGCUACUACUACUGUAUU
rnacentral:lncRNA from 1 species